UACGUAGGGUGCAAGCGUUAAUCGGAAUUACUGGGCGUAAAGCGUGCGCAGGCGGUUGUGCAAGACAGAUGUGAAAUCCCCGGGCUCAACCUGGGAAUUGCAUUUGUGACUGUACGGCUAGAGUGUGUCAGAGGGGGGGUAGAAUUCCACGUGUAGCAGUGAAAUGCGUAGAGAUGUGGAGGAAUACCGAUGGCGAAGGCAGCCCCCUGGGAUAACACUGACGCUCAUGCACGAAAGCGUGGGGAGCAAACAGG
rnacentral:rRNA from 1 species